ACCUUUAGCUCAUUUUGUUAGAGCAGACGGUUCAUCAUACCCGUCUGGUCGUAGGUUCGAUUCCUACAAGUUCCA
rnacentral:tRNA from 1 species